rnacentral:lncRNA from 1 species
UUUAAUUUUAUCCGUUAUUACAAUAUCAAAAAGACAUUUAUCUAGAAUUCUGGGCCGUAUAACAAACGGGUUCCAAGGAAGUGUUUGGUACAUCCAAGCUUCAGAAUAUCAUCGACUCCAUUGGAGACCCAGAUGAACAGAGUCUUUCAUAGAAAGAGAUGGAAGCUCCCAAUAAGUUACCAAUGCCCAAAGGAGGGGCAUGUUUCCAGAUUGUAUAGAGAGCAAUCGAUCCCAUUUAAUUCUAUCUACACAUCACCAAAUCUUGCGGCAACAAAAUCACAGCAUCUCAGAUGAUUCUGUUUCCAAGUGGCAAUAUGCUCCUAAGCAGGGAGCGAAAGAAAUGCCAUACAAACUAAAAUUUGGAUUAAGUUGUUUACUUGAAACCAUUAUCACUCUUUCAAUUCUACUCCAAGCUCUGAGCUCAAUUUACAGUAUAGCAUUGCCAUUCUUUCUGUUCCGUGCACGGCUCAGAGUAGGCAGAGCUGAAGAAAAAUCACCAUAAAAUAGAAGAACACUCUCAAAACGGCCUUGAAGAUCAAAUCCCACACCAGACGCUACCUUUCACUUUACUUCCACUAGAUGGAAUCGGUGCCUCACUACAGAAAACAGGUUCUGAAGCAAACCAGAGAGAGCUAGCUAGACAUAUUUCCUCGAAGCACUACCCUUAUCCCAUUUGAAAUUCUUUCUUCACUCAACUUGAUUUACUAAUAUUGGCCAAAUUCAAAAGGUUAACAACACCCCUCUUCGGAAAAACUCAAAGAUUAAUAGCGAAAUGUAGAAUGGGAACCGUGAGUGGAACCUUGAC